rnacentral:rRNA from 1 species
AUUGAACGCUGGCGGCAUGCCUAACACAUGCAAGUCGCACGCGAAAGGGGGCAACCCUGAGUAGAGUGGCGGACGGGUGAGUAACGCGUAGGAAUCUACCUGGUAGUGGGGGACAACCCGGUGAAAACCGGGCUAAUACCGCAUACGAUCCACGGAUGAAAGCAGGGGACCGCAAGGCCUUGCGCUAUCAGAUGAGCCUGCGUCGGAUUAGCUAGUUGGUGGGGUAAAGGCCCACCAAGGCGACGAUCCGUAGCUGGUUUGAGAGAACGACCAGCCAGACUGGGACUGAGACACGGCCCAGACUCCUGCGGGAGGCAGCAGUGGGGAAUAUGGGACAAUGGGGGCAACCCUGAUCCAGCAAUGCCGCGUGUGUGAAGAAGGCCUUCGGGUUGUAAAGCACUUUCGGUGGGGACAAACAAGGUGGAGCUAACAUCUCCGCCUCUGAUGGUACCCAGAGAAGAAGCACCGGCUAACUCUGUGCCAGCCGCCGCAGUAA